GAUGAACGCUGGCGGCGUGCCUAAUACAUGCAAGUCGAGCGAAUGGAUUAAGAGCUUGCUCUUAUGAAGUUAGCGGCGGACGGGUGAGUAACACGUGGGUAACCUGCCCAUAAGACUGGGAUAACUCCGGGAAACCGGGGCUAAUACCGGAUAACAUUUUGAACCGCAUGGCUCGAAAUUGAAAGGCGGCUUCGGCUGUCACUUAUGGAUGGACCCGCGUCGCGUUAGCUAGUUGGUGAGGUAACGGCUCACAAAGGCGACGAUGCGUAGCCGACCGUAUAGGGUGGUCGGGCACACGAGGAAUGGGACACGGCCCAGACUCCUACGGGAGGCAGCAGUAGGGAAUCUUCCGCAAUGGACGAAAGUCUGACGGAGCAACGCCGCGUGAGUGGUGAAGGCUUUCGGGUCGUAAAACUCUGUUGUUAGGGAAGAACAAGUGCUAGUUGAAUAAGCUGGCACCUUGACGGUACCUAACCAGAAAGCCACGGCUAACUACGUGCCAGCCGCCGCAGUAA
rnacentral:rRNA from 1 species